GGGGAACUCCCGCCGCUCCCGGCUGGUGUCCGGCCCGGGACCAGCCCUGCCGGCCCCACGCACCGCCCGGAGCGACUCCCGGGGGGGGGCCGACCCACGGCCCGACAGCCCUCGGGCUCCUCAGGGUCCCCCUCAUCCCGCAGCAUCUCUGGCAUCCCACAGCACCCCCGCGCUCCCAAAGGCCCCCUGGGGUCCCACCGCACCCCUGGGCCCCGCUCACCUGGGCAGCAUCUUUGGGAUUGCACAACCUCCCUGAGAUUCUGCUCAUCCCACAGCACUCCCCUGGGAUUCUGCUCGUCCCCCAGCACCCUGGGGUGGCUCUUACCUCCGACUGUCUUCACUCGCAUCCUGUUGGCAGUGACGCCUCCGUCCACACUGAGACACCUGUUGAACGGGUUGUUGAGGAAAAAAAAAGGAGCACCUCCUCCUUAGCGGUUGGACAGUUGGUGGCAGGACAUGGCUCAGAGAGGUGCAGACCAUCAAAGACACCUUUGAAACAGCAGGAAUUCCCAAGGAGGAGGGUCUCCAUAAUUCCUCAGACUUACAGACAGUAGCUGUAGCAGCAGCUUCAUCAGAGGAGUUGUUUAGUCACUCUUUUCUUCACCGGAGCUGCUGGACUUGUGGCAGCACUGCAGUCCUACAAUGGUUCCUCUUCUUCCAGCUUCUCACCCUCCUGAGUUAUCAUUUUUAGAAAAUCCCUCUCAGCAUGAAGCAAUCAAUUAAUGAAGAUUCAUUAACACUAUUCCUGCACCUGUUAGUGGUGAACGCCUUUGAUUUGUGACACUGUUGUUCCUGGGGAACAUUUCCUGCCAUGUUUUCACUUUUGUGAUUGUUUUUUGCUUGUUGUUUGUUUUUUUUUUCUUUCUUAAGGAGGUCAGAGAGGUGUCACCAUAGUAAUAACAAUAACAAAAUCCAUGGUGGCUGAGGAAUGUACUGUGACCAGAUCAUUAAUACUCAGAAAUAAAACGAGGUUUUCUGGAACAGGUGGGGAGUUACUUGAUUUUAGAAAAAAGAAAGAAUGAUCAAACUUAACAUAAUGCCAAAAACAAACACCAUUUUAAGGAAUGUGUGAUCUUCUUGGCAAGUAGGUCUUGUUUUGAGAUAAUGAUCCACAGAAUCAGCAAAUGAGAAUUUCUUUGGUUUGUAACCAAGUUGAUUUCGUGCCUUGUCUAUUCGGAACGUGUGAGUUACAGUAACGUUCCACACCUGAAACCCAAAAGGACAGUGAUGGAAGUGACUUUAACAUCAGAUUUUCUACAACUUGGAUGAAAAUACAUUGACAAUGAUAUUACAAUGGAAACAGAACAGCAAACAGAACUCUACUGCAGAGAAUCCUGUCUGCAUCCAAAGGGCAUAUCACAGACUUCACGAGAGUUUUGGUCAGAAAUAUAUAAACAUUCUCUCUUUUUAUGUAUAUUUACCUCAUUCCUUGUCAAGAAAGGUGUAAAGCUAAAAACUGGCUUUAGUAUCAGGUGCAGAUAUUCCAUCACAGUGGCUGUGAAACACAAAGUUACUUAAUGAGACAGAUGGCUGGAUAACAAUAAACUGAGACAAUGCUGACAUUGCACAUCCUGUAAUUCCUACUGAUAUCAGAGGAUGCAAUUAGGGUGGCAGAAGGCAGGGUUUAACUUAUAAAGUACAUGAUUGACUCGGUUUAUGAAUAGCCUUUAAAAUUUAUCUAGUAAUUAGUUCCAAAUGGCACAAGGGAUUAUUAUUUAUUGGAAUAAUAUUAAGUUACAUAAUUCCUACAGUUUGAGUCCCAUCAUUUUAUAAAACCACAAUGGAGCUUUCUAGGAAUAAAAAAAAAAAAAUACAGCCCA